CUACGGGUGGCUCCAGUGGGGAAUAUUGCACAAUGGGCGAAAGCCUGAUGCAGCGACGCCGCGUGAGCGAAGAAGGUUUUCGGAUCGUAAAGCUCUGUCCUGUGGGAAGAAAAUGACGGUACCAUAGGAGGAAGCCCCGGCUAACUACGUGCCAGCAGCCGCGGUAAUACGUAGGGGGCGAGCGUUGUCCGGAUUUACUGGGCGUAAAGGGUGAGUAGGCGGUAACGUGUGUCAGAUGUGAAAGGCGAGGGCUAAACCCUCGUAAGCAUUUGAAACUGCGUAACUUGAGUGCAGGAGAGGUAAGCGGAAUUCCUAGUGUAGCGGUGAAAUGCGUAGAUAUUAGGAGGAACACCGGUGGCGAAGGCGGCUUACUGGACUGUAACUGACGCUGAGACACGAAAGCGUGGGGAGCAAACAGGAUUAGAUACCCGCGUAGUC
rnacentral:rRNA from 1 species